rnacentral:rRNA from 1 species
AUUGAACGCUGGCGGUAUGCUUAAGACAUGCAAGUCGAACGGUAACAGACCUUCGGGUGCUGACGAGUGGCGGACGGGUGAGUAACACGUGGGAAUCUACCUUGUAGUGGGGGAUAAGCCAGGGAAACUUGGACUAAUACCGCAUACGCCCUAAGGGGGAAAGGCGCAAGUCGCUAUAAGAUGAGCCCGCGUCUGAUUAGCUAGUUGGUGAGGUAAAGGCUCACCAAGGCGACGAUCAGUAGCUGGUCUGAGAGGAUGGCCAGCCACAUUGGGACUGAGACACGGCCCAGACUCCUACGGGAGGCAGCAGUCGGGAAUAUUGGACAAUGGGGGCAACCCUGAUCCAGCAAUACCGCGUGUGUGAAGAAGGCCUGCGGGUUGUAAAGCACUUUUAGUAGGGAAGAUAAUGACGUUACCUACAGAAAAAGCACCGGCUAACUCCGUGCCAGCCGCCGCCGUAAGAC